GUGCGACAGCCGACAAUGCAACGGAAGGUGCCUGGAUUUUGUGCCUGUGUUCCUAUUCUCGUACGAGAUUCGUUUUCGCUACCAGAGGAGAGUUGGGACUGGAACAAAGCUAGGUUCACCCUCGGCACCUUACUCACGAAUGUAAUGUUUUCUUCUGAACAUGAAUUUAAGUUACGGAUUUCUUCUCUGAUUAUCUUGGCGCCCUGAUUUGUUUUUAGCGGGUUCCCUUGGUCUGAUAAGAAAACUCAUUAUUGAUGUCGUAGAACUUGUAAGACAUGGAGUUCCACCUGAACUUUUGGUUCCUACUAUUUCUUCUUUGGAAAAUACUAUUUCACAUAACUUGUUCCAAGCUCUUGUCGUCUUUACAUUGUGUGAAUUAGACAAAAUCGUGAAUUACCUGAACAUAUACUUUUCGGAAGCACUCUGACAAUAAGGAAUGGGAGGUCAUGGAGGUCUGAACAUUCUUCCUCGGAAGCGCUGGAAUGUUUACAACUACGAAAACAGAGAGAAAGUUAGGCGAGAUGAGGAAGCCGCGGCAAAAGAAGAGCAGCUUAAGCGAGAACAGUCCAGAAAGAGGGAUGCGGAAUUCCGCCUCGAGAUGCUCAGGCGCGCUCGUGGUUUACCUACUGCUGCUCAAAGCAGUUCAUCUGUUGCAUCGGAACCAAAGUCGAAUCACAUUAAUCUCUUUGAAGGAUUGGAAUUUUUUCCUGCUUCUGGUGGUGAAGCAGAAGAGAAUGAUGAUGCUCAAAAGGAGAGCUCCAGGAAGAAGAAGCUGAAGAAGAAGGUAGUGCCAAAAGUUAUUCUUCCAGAGGAUGAGAAAUACAGGCUAGGAUAUGGAGUGGCUGGAAAAGGUGUAAAAGCACCCUGGUACAUGUCGAGGCCAUCCGAUACAAAUGCUGAUCUCCAUCGGGACCACAGAAGCAGGAGGAGGGUACGAAAUCUGGCAAGACGACGUUGGAGGAAUUAAGGGAGGAACGGCUGAAGAGAGAGAAGCGAGAGAAAGAGAGGGAACGUGCACUUGUUCUAGAGAACAAUAGAAGAGAUGCAGCCACUACAAAAGCGAGGAAGUUUUCUAGAUGAUCUAGUUGAAGCAGGCCUGGGCAAUUGAGGGUGCGGAGAGGAGGGAGAUUGGGGUAGGUGGGUUGUAAAUAUCAGGCGGACUGUUGAUGCUCUCUUUCUCUCUCUCUCUCUCUCUAAGUGAUAUCAUUCUAUUAAGGUAUCUGGACCGCAAAAGUUAGGCGGUUUUUAUGUUGUAUUAACUUUCAAGUUUCAAGAGAGAGCUUUUAUACUGAUGCAAGCUGCUUCAUUCUGCUUUUUCCUGUUUUUAAUUUUCUAUUCUAUUCUAUUCACUUGUUCUCAGUGCAUUUUGUCAAACCCUUUAAUUAACACGUUUCAUCAACAAGACCACUUAUAUUGAAAUAUGUCAAAGAGGAUGGUG